AGUGUUGUGGCUCAGCGGUAGAGCGCUCGUCUCGCACGCGCUGGACCCUGGGUUCGAUCCUCAGCACUA
rnacentral:tRNA from 1 species